rnacentral:rRNA from 1 species
CCAGCAGCCGCGGUAAUACGAAGGGGGCUAGCGUUGUUCGGAAUUACUGGGCGUAAAGGGCGCGUAGGCUGUGCUGUAAGUCAGGCGUGAAAGGCCCGGGCUCAACCCGGGAACUGCGCUUGAUACUGCGGCGCUGGAAGGCGGGAGAGGAUGGCGGAAUUCCCAGUGUAGAGGUGAAAUUCGUAGAUAUUGGGAAGAACACCGGUGGCGAAGGCGGCCAUCUGGCCCGCAAUUGACGCUGAGGCGCGAAAGCGUGGGGAGCAAACAGGAUUAGAUACCCUGGUA